UACGUAGGGGGCAAGCGUUGUCCGGAUUUAUUGGGCGUAAAGAGCGUGUAGGCGGCCAUACAGGUCCGUUGUGAAAACUCGAGGCUUAACCUCGAGACGUCGAUGGAAACCGUAUGGCUAGAGUCCGGAAGAGGAGAGGGGAAUUCCUGGUGUAGCGGUGAAAUGCGCAGAUAUCAGGAAGAACACCCGUGGCGAAGGCGGCUCUCUGGGACGGUACUGACGCUGAGACGCGAAAGCGUGGGGAGCGAACAGG
rnacentral:rRNA from 1 species